rnacentral:rRNA from 1 species
UGAUAGGUGGGGUGUGUAAGCGCUGUGAGGCGUUGAGCUAACCCAUACUAAUUGCCCGUGAGGCUUGACCAUAUAACACCCAAGCAAUU